GCGCGCAUUGUGCGCAUUCAAGUUUUGGUUUUUUCACUUCCUUAGAAGCUGAAAUUGCGGACAUUGCGGGGUUGGGCUUGAUGACAUAUGUUGCCCAGCUGCCGCGACGCAUUUGGAGCAAAGCUUCUGCUUAUUUCUUCUGGCUGCACCUUAUAUUUGUUGUCUUUGCCAACAUCUGACCUGUUUCUGCCUUGUUGAAAGCAAGUGGCCACAAGUACUGCUUAGUUUGCUCAGUCUAAACCUGGAUGUAUAUCUAUUUGCUAAGGGCAUGCUUCUGCUCCUUUAAAGCUUGCUUUAACUAAUAGUGGUUUGAGUCAUGUAUGACACCAGAUAAUUAUUUUCUAAAGAGGUGGCAAAGCUUGUCCACAGAUUUAAAGUAUGGAGAUGCUGAACAUUAAAAUGUUCCAAGUUGCCACAAAGUAUUACAUGCAUUUAAAUUUGCAGUCGCAAAAGACAUACUAAAAGUGUAAUCCACAAAAUUUGCUUCCAGGUGUCUUGAGACAAUAAAUUGUAGAGAAAGAAUUCUAUUGUGAGUUGCCAAUGGUUGUCGUGAGCUCUAGCCCAUUUUUCUAUACAGCCACUGUUGCUUCGUUGUCUGUUGCCAUCACGUGCUUGUUACUAACAAGAAAUUGAGCCGCCUGGUUCCCCUGAUUUUUGUCGCUCAUAAAAUGCAAAUGUCUCCACAUUGGCAGCCUCAAGGUAGAACAACGAGUGUCAUCGGCCAGUUGCCUGCUUGUAAGAUAAUGUUGCGUGUAAUGUCAGGGGUUUAAAGGAUACUUCACAUCUGCCAUCAUGGCUGCUGCCUAGCACUUCCAGGACGAAGUUUGGUCCACAUGUGCAACUAUCCAAGAAAAUGGACAUUGGGACAACUGCUCACUUGGUAGAGCAUCGCAAGCGCAAAGCAGAAAAUGUGGGUUAAGCUCCAACCGGCAGCAAGUUGUCUCUUAAUGCAAAGCAUUAUCAUGAUCUAUUUUUGAAUUUCUUAGUACACCUGCCCAGGUAGCUUCAUUAAUAAUUAGUAAUGCUCCUGAUGGUGGGUAUUGAACACGAGUCUCUAGUGCAGCAGCCCAAUUCUUCGCCCAUUAGGCUACAGAUGCAUGCAUAGCUCGCCAGAUUAACCGCACGGGUUCUCUCUUAGCAGCUAAUGCUGUCAGAUGUUAUGUGACACUCGCAGAGUUUGGGAUUCACCCAUUUCAGCUCAGAUGCAACAUAUAAGGCAGGUGUUGUGUUUGCUUUGGUGACGCGUUGUGCGUGCAAUUGUUUUUGGUUUCUCUAUGUUGGCGUAUUGUGCUUUGUAUUCGAUAUGGUGCUGCGCAUUACCUCAAUCACAGCUUCGAUGCUGUGCCCAAAAAAAACAUUUGUAGGCAGGUGCUCAAGUGACGUGAAGCUCCCUCAUUCUCUCUUGCAGGUAGUGCAUCCAGUUUAGCGCCAUGCACAUGUGUGGGGCAUUUACUUGUUCUUAUUCUGCUGAUGUGUCGUGUUGUACAUAGGAGGAAAGCCGGUCUUCCACAAAUAUGGUUGUCAGCGUUACUGAAUACAACACCGUCUUGCUGCCUUGACACGCCACAUCAUUUGACAUCUGCCUGAGCUGGCAUCUUGCUGUUCCUUGUGGUCAGGCAUAGCCAAGACUGGAGGUAGAGUCCGCACACAAAGUUCAAGGCUGAACAAUAGAACCAGCACGCCCAAUAAAUGUGUAUGCAAAUUUAGCUCUAAGCUUGAUUUAUGUCAGGAAUAAUGAUUCACAAAAGGGGCUUCACAAAAGUGAGCACGAACACCAACAACCGUCUUCUUUCACAUCCUUUGUUGGUGCCUGCCUUUGUUGCUACAUAGUAAUUAAUUAGUAAUUAGUUUGCUAAGCUAUCCACAACUGAGAACUCGAUCAAGCAUAGAAAAAAACAUGACUAUAGGCUCCUGUGUUUCUUAUGUUUAAAUCACAAUUUGUAGGUAUCAAACACAGCAUAGCAUAAAUGAUACAUUGAGUGCCUUUUCGAGUCUUCUUCAGAGGGUGCUCGAGAUUUCUGGUUGGGUUGCCAUAGAUGUGUUAGCUCAGUGAAUCUUCCUUCCAAGGCAUUCAGUUUGUUAAAGUUAAGCGGCUAUAGAUGUGUCCUCAUUGUUCAGGUUACUUCUGGCGACACCUGAACGUUCUUGUGGCUAUGGUGUGAUGCUUCAUGACACACAUGGUGCUCAAUUCUGAAUUAUUGUUGGCAUGCUUUUUCACAAAUGGUUUUAGUAAGAUAAUUGCACAGGCGACGCAAAAUGAGCCACAGCAUAUGCUUCACCUCCAGCAUGUUCGUGAUCACCGAUGGCAUGUAAAACUGUGAUUCAGACCAAGCAUCGCAAAGAAUGAUUGUUGCCUUUCUUUCUUACAGGCUGCUGUGUUUCAGCUAUAUCUGCUUUUCCUGUGUCCAGUGGCCUUGUCGCUCAAUUAGUGCUUGCCAAUUUCCAUUACCCUGCAACCCACUAAAAAUAUGAAAUU